GCAGAGCGUGCGUAAGCGGGGGAGGAGAGGAGUGUGGGUGGAGGAGUCGUCGUCCAGCUCUCUUUAGGGAUCCAGCAGCCGCUGGCGUCGGCCGCUCUCUUGUUUGCCGCCGCUUUUUAGUGCCCCCGUCGGGCGUGUCCGCUCCUCCAGCUGGUGUAGCGAGGCGCGCCUCCGCUUCGUGGUGGUCAAAGCUAACUCUCCCGCUGGCGCGCCGGUCACUUCCCCUCCCUCUUCCAUGUCCGCCUGUUUAGCCGCUGCGCUUCUGCUGCUCCCGCGCCGCUCGACGAAGUAGGGGCAGCCCUUCUCUCAUGCGUUGUCUUUAUCACUUUUGAUCGGUUCGUGUUGAAAGGGUGGUAGGGACCGUACCGUCAAAAAUUCUACCUCCUGAGGGGUCUAGUUAUGCUACUUCGUUCCACGUUAUGUUAUCUGUUCUACGUUAAGUUCUCGGUUCUCAGUCGUCGAAAAUAAUAGAUCGUAGGUUCAAUAUGUACACAUUUCCCCCUCCGUUCUUGUCCCUGUUCUUAGUUCGGUCCAAGACUUUGUGAAUCCAUGUCCCCGUUAAAAACGUUCAUCAUAUAGUCCCCCCCCAUCCAUAUCUCUCCCUUUA
rnacentral:rRNA from 1 species